rnacentral:tRNA from 2 species
CGGGGUUUAGCUCAGUUGGCUAGAGUGUGCGCUUUGGGAGCGUGAGGCCACAGGUUCGAGUCCUGUAACCCCGACCA